rnacentral:rRNA from 1 species
GAUGAACGCUAGCGACAGGCUUAACACAUGCAAGUCGAGGGGCAGCACGGGAGUAGCAAUACAACUGGUGGCGACCGGCGCACGGGUGAGUAACGCGUAUGCAACCUACCUAUCAGAGGGGAAUAACCCGGCGAAAGUCGGACUAAUACCGCAUAAAACAGGGGCACCGCAUGGUGAUAUUUGUUAAAGAAAUUCGCUGAUAGAUGGGCAUGCGUUCCAUUAGGUAGUUGGUGAGGUAACGGCUCACCAAGCCGACGAUGGAUAGGGGAACUGAGGAGUUGGUCCCCCACACUGGUACUGAGACACGGACCAGACUCCUACGGGAGGCAGCAGUGAGGAAUAUUGGUCAAUGGGCGGGAGCCUGAACCAGCCAAGUCGCGUGAAGGAAGAAGGAUCUAUGGUUCGUAAACUUCUUUUGCAGGGGAAUAAAGUGCAGGACGUGUCCUGUUUUGUAUGUACCCUGAGAAUAAGGAUCGGCUAACUCCGUGCCAGCCGCCGCAGUAAAAC